ACGAACGCUGGCGGCGUGCUUAACACAUGCAAGUCGAGCGGUAAGGCCUUUCGGGGUACACGAGCGGCGAACGGGUGAGUAACACGUGGGUGAUCUGCCUUGCACUUCGGGAUAAGCCUGGGAAACUGGGUCUAAUACCGGAUAUGACCAUUGGAUGCAUGUCUGGUGGUGGAAAGAUUUAUCGGUGUGAGAUGGGCCCGCGGCCUAUCAGCUUGUUGGUGGGGUAACGGCCUACCAAGGCGACGACGGGUAGCCG
rnacentral:rRNA from 1 species